rnacentral:lncRNA from 1 species
UCUCAAACUCCUGGGCCCAAGCAAUCCUCCCACUUUAACCUCCCAAAGUGCUGGAAUUACAGGCAUGGGCCACUGCACCCAGCCAGACAUGUGAUUUUUAAUUUGACUUUUUUCUUCAUAUAUUAUGAAUAUUUUACCUUUCCUUUAUUUUUCAAUCUACAGCAGUUUGAUUUUUGCUAUGACUGCUCCCUUGUCUGCCCUAAUAAAAGAAACAAGUGGUACAAUCAUUGCUAAAUCUAAGGCCACCUCCAGUCUUGUCUUACUUUUAUCUUCCUUGGCCACUUCUUCCAUAAUCAAACAUCCGUCCUUUGACUUUCUCAACAUGCCUUUAUCCUGGUUUUCAUCUAUUUCUAGCUGUUCCUUCUGAUCUCCUCGUUAGUCACUCUCUUCUGAUAACCCUUGAAUAUAGAAGCCAGACCCCUCUCCCUUUCUAUUUUAUUUUACCCACCACCUCUGCAUUUUGAUGCAUAUAUUCAAAUAUUUAGCCCUAUCCGUUCCUGACUUCUGGACCCUUAUGCAACCUGGAUUUCCCACUGACUCGUUAAACUCAACAUGCCCAAAGCAGAAUUUCUUAUCUCUUCUUCCUUCUCAAAUAUGAGGAUCGUCUUUCUUUCAGCUUGGAGGCAGCAAUCGUCACAGUGCCCUCUUGCCUCUUCACCGUAGUAACAUCAAUAACCACAGAGUUGACAUUUAUGGAACUCAAAUGCUAUGUUAAGACUUUACAGACAUUUUUUAAUUUUCUCAAGAAAUCUAUGAGAAAAAGAAGUCAAGACUGAGAGGAGAGAGACUGCUGAACUGGAAUAAACUGCAGAAGCUGGAUUAGAAGACAUUGAGCUGGCCAAAAAUACAAUACAUUUUUAAAUUGCAGCUUUCCAAACUAGCCUUGACAUCUCACCCCAGGCACUGGCAACCUAUCCCAUAGCCAGCUACAGGCAGCCUGCUGGGGAAUUUCAGUGCCACAUCAGCCAUUCACCCGCCCUCGGCAAAGUACGCUCCCUCACCUUCCUACCUCCUUCUUACCGGCCUGGUCCUGCAGGCACCCAGGGGCUGGCACUCCACCAGGCCAUUCCUCCAAACAAAGUCGGCCUUUCAUCAAUGGUCCCAAGUGCAAGAUUCCCCUUCCUACACACUCUAGGCAUCAACACAUCUUCAUGCCUUAUCCGAUCUUGGUUAUCAAACUCUAGAUGAGAAAAAUGAAACCCAGUUUAUUUAUACCUUAGAAAAGAGUUUGUUAACCAAAACACAUUUCUCAGAAGUGGAGUAUGACUUAUUAGACUUUAUAUUAUUCCGUGUUAAUUUUUCUCCAUCUAAUCAUCAAAAGUGAAAUACAGGACAUCCACAUGACUCAUUUGAACACAGCUGCACCCCUGUGUUAGCAAGUGACUUGUACCAGUGCCAUUGGGCUCAGUCAAAACAAAGAAUCAUCACUUAGAGGAGGUGAGGUUUGACCAACAAAUUCUUUAGACCCUGGUAGUCAGUGCAAGAGCUUCUGAAUGAUAACAAUGAUAAAAGUAAUAGCAGCAGCUAAUAUAUACACAAUUAAACAAUGCACAUUACAUGGAUUAUCUCAUUUCAUACAUGCAACAAUCUUUUACAAUUAUAGCAGUUCCACAAAGUAGGGAAUUUCUGUUUUAACUAGUCCUUCAAGAGGCAAUUACUUUUCUCUAGUGUUCUGCUCUUAGGACUGGAAGGAUGAGACUUUGCGACCAGAAAGACUCAUCAUUAGAGUGGGCAGCUCCUUCCUUCCUCAUGCCACACCCACAGGCAGCUGCCUUCCCUUUCCUGCAGCAAACAGGUCCCAUCAUAUCCCACAGAUGCAACCAAAUGAUUUCGUAUUGCUUUCAGCAAUUACAUGAAGAGGCAUAUGACUAAAUCAGCCUAUUAUCCUCAUUUCUCAACAGCCCUCACAAUAUUGCAUUUAUAGAAUUUUGGUGUUGUGGCCUUCAAAACACAUUGGUAUUGUGACCUUACUAGAAUAAUCCUUUAGAGUCACAGACAUUUAUUAAAACAAAGACCAUGUUUUCUGGUAAUAAAAGCUAAGGGAGGGUAUGAGAAUUUAUUCUCCAGGUUAACAAGGACAAGAUAACCCUCAGCAUGCAUCUGCAAGUAGAAUGCUGUGUGAAACACUCCCUUAUCAAACUCUUUCCUGAAUAGCAACCCUCAAGGCAGCCUGAAAUGUCUUAUUAUUUUUAUGCUUCUGCAUGUGCACCUGUAUUACCAAUAAUACCCUGUCAAUGCAUUGAGUUUGUUUGCUGUUUAUUUCCUAACAAGAAACUGUUCAUGGUAUGGAGUAGAGAAGGAGUAUUUUCAUGGGAUAGGCAUUUUGGAGAAGAAAAAAAGCAAAUGAGAGAAGUGGGA